UUUGGGGGCGGUGUUUACAGGCUGGACUGGUUCUUUUCUGUCGGCCGCCCUGCUCUUAGCUGGGUUUCUGAACCUCCGAAGUUUUCCAGCUAGGUUCGGAAAAAACGAAAACACAGCUCAGGAAGGCUCCACCAGCCGAUGCCUAUGCCAGUUCACCUCUGGCAGUGGCUGUACUGCUGGUCCACACAGCAGCCAAGACCAGCUCCACGUUCUUUCCUCCCCCUCAGUUCACUGGAGCCGGGAGCCCUGCACUCAGGGGAAGGGCCUCAGCUCUACAGACUG
rfam:Mus musculus chromosome 6, clone RP23-329P9, complete sequence.